rnacentral:rRNA from 1 species
AGAGUGAACGCUGGCGGUAGGCCUAACACAUGCAAGUCGAACGGCAGCACAGUGGUAGCAAUACCAUGGGUGGCGAGUGGCGGACGGGUGAGGAAUACAUCGGAAUCUACCUUUUCGUGGGGGAUAACGUAGGGAAACUUACGCUAAUACCGCAUACGCCCUUCGGGGGAAAGCCGGGGAUCGCAAGACCUGGCGCGGAUAGAUGAGCCGAUGUCGGAUUAGCUAGUUGGUGAGGUAAUGGCUCACCAAGGCGACGAUCCGUAGCUGGUCUGAGAGGAUGAUCAGCCACACUGGAACUGAGACACGGUCCAGACUCCUACGGGAGCAGCAGUGGGAAUAUUGGACAAUGGGCGCAAGCCUGAUCCAGCCAUACCGCGUGGGUGAAGAAGGCCUUGGGUUCGUAAAACGCCCGUUUUUGUUAGGGAAAAGAAAGCGUAAAGUCGGUUUAAAUACCCCGGUUUGUUACGUGAACCGGUUAACCCGAAAGUAAA